AUUGAACGCUGGCGGCAUGCUUUACACAUGCAAGUCGAACGGUAACAGGCCUUCGGGUGCUGACGAGUGGCGAACGGGUGAGUAAUGCAUCGGAACGUACCCAGGGGUGGGGGAUAACGCAGCGAAAGCUGUGCUAAUACCGCAUGUGAUCUGAGGAUGAAAGCGGGGGACCGAGCAGCAAUGUGUGGCCUCGCGCCUUUGGAGCGGCCGAUGUCGGAUUAGCUAGUUGGUGGGGUAAAGGCCUACCAAGGCGACGAUCCGUAGCUGGUCUGAGAGGACGACCAGCCACACUGGGACUGAGACACGGCCCAGACGCCUACGGGAGGCAGCAGUGGGGAAUUUUGGACAAUGGGCGCAAGCCUGAUCCAGCAAUGCCGCGUGCGGGAAGAAGGCCUUCGGGUUGUAAACCGCUUUUGGCAGGAACGAAACGGUGUCCGCUAAUACCGGGCGCUAAUGACGGUACCUGCAGAAUAAGCACCGGCUAACUACGUG
rnacentral:rRNA from 1 species